GAUAAGAACGCAGCGAAAUGCGAUAAGUAAUGUGAAUUGCAGAAUUCAGUGAAUCAUCGAAUCUUUGAACGCACAUUGCGCCCGCCAGUAUUCUGGCGGGCAUGCCUGUUCGAGCGUCAUUUCAACCAUCAAGCCCCCGGCUUGUGUUGGGGACCUGCGGCUGCCGCAGGCCCUGAAAAGCAGUGGCGGGCUCGCUGUCACACCGAGCGUAGUAGCAUACAUCUCGCUCUGGGCGUGCUGCGGGUUCCGGCCGUUAAACCACCUUCAUAACCCAAGGUUGACCUCGGAUCAGGUAGGAAGACCCGCUGAACUUAAGCAUAUCAAUAAGCGGAGGA
rnacentral:misc_RNA from 1 species